ACCAGUGGUGAACAGUGCUCCCGCAACUGCCACUGUGCAAUAGCAAAGAAUGUGAGCUCUGUAUCUGAAGGUCCCGUUAUUCAGGAGGCUUGUUGCAAUGGUGCUUCGGUGAGGAGUGUUACUGGUUGAGGUACUGUUCUGGUUUCAUUUUCAGGCUUAAUUUAUGGAUGAGGCAAAAAAGUGACGCAAUCUAGAAGCCAUUUUAUUAGGUACAAGGCAUUUCGUUUGGCAAGACUAGUUGUAGUUCGGGAUAACCUCAUGAAACACAAGAGUCCACGACAGAACAGAUGUCUCAUCAGUAGUUUGCCGCCAUAUAGCUUAGGGUGAAUUGAAACUUUCAAAAUAACUUGGUGCCAUACAUUUCGGAAGAUACAUGGAUGACGUGUACAACAUUUGCUUGUUUCCCAAGGGGACGCUACUGAGAAGCUGGCUCACCAAGUCCCGGCCCAGACUGCUUCUGCUCAUUGCGGGCUUGAAGAGGCCUCAGGUGACCCUCAUGCGGAGGAAAAGGAUGAAGCGCACAAAAGUAGCAAAGGCCACGUAAGCGUACCUGCAACCGAAUGCCACAUUUCACUUGAGGUCUUGGCAAAGAGGAUCUCCCCACCGGAGUUAGACAUGGAACACGAAGACAUGGAAGAACUACGUUUUCAAUCUCUGUCAAAGCAACGAACUAAAAGCCAAAGCACACAGAAAAGGGGUUCCGCGUUUUUUGUGAAAACAAGGGAUCGGCAACAGAGAUCUAGACCCCCAGAUUAAUCGAGAUCUUCUUCCACAUCCCCCAUUUGUACAUCUCUUCAAAUACACAUUUGUUAUGGUUCAUUAUAAUUCAAUGAGUGUGACUUGUACAUUAUUUUCAUUCAGUGGCAUACAUUUAGUUUGACUGACUAUCGCUGUGUUCUUGGGAUAGAUCUUUUCAAGUAAGAUAACUAUUUGUUUCACAUGAGCAAAUCUGUGUUUGGUUAAGUGAAUAACAAAACAGUGCCUUUUCAUUACUAGCAGAUGCAAGUACCCAGUAACCGGAGGCACAUUAGACAUGCAACCCUGUGCUAAGGAAAGAGUCAACAUUAAAAGUCUGACCCAUUCAUUUACCUUUCUGUAAAUACACCCAAGUGACUUUGAAGGGAAAUAAAAACAAAAGGUAAUGCAUUUAUAGGUCAACAAUUUACCAAUGGGUACCAACAAUGAGGCAACACUUCAUUGUGCUCAAAUCAUAACGUUGACAUUAUAGAAAAAUUAUGAUAAGCAAUAA